rnacentral:tRNA from 1 species
GUGGUGGCUCACUGGUAGAGUGCUCGCCUAGCAUGCAUGAGGAACUGGGUUCGAUACUCGGCACCACA